rnacentral:tRNA from 2 species
GGCCGCGUGGCCUAAUGGCUAAGGCGCUAGAUUUCGGUUCUCAACACCUUCUCUAGAGAUUCCAGGUUCGACUCCUGGCGUGGUCG